GACGUAGGGCGCGAGCGUUGUCCGGAUUUAUUGGGCGUAAAGAGCUCGUAGGCGGCUCGUUGCGUCGGCUGUGAAAACCCGCAGCUCAACCGUGGGCUUGCAGCCGAUACGGGCGGGCUUGAGUUCGGUAGGGGAGACUGGAAUUCCUGGUGUAGCGGUGAAAUGCGCAGAUAUCAGGAGGAACACCGGUGGCGAAGGCGGCUUGCUGGGCCUUACCUGACGCUGAGGAGCGAAAGCGUGGGGAGCGAACAGG
rnacentral:rRNA from 1 species